rnacentral:rRNA from 1 species
GUGUCAGCAGCCGCGGUAAUACCGGCAGUCCGAGUGAUGGCCGAUAUUAUUGGGCCUAAAGCGUCCGUAGCUGGCUAGACAAGUCCGUUGGGAAAUCUGCCCGCUUAACGGGCAGGCGUCCAGCGGAAACUGUCUAGCUUGGGACCGGAAGACCUGAGGGGUACGUCUGGGGUAGGAGUGAAAUCCUGUAAUCCUGGACGGACCGCCGGUGGCGAAAGCGCCUCAGGAGAACGGAUCCGACAGUGAGGGACGAAAGCUAGGGUCUCGAACCGGAUUAGAUACCCGCGUAAUCC